rnacentral:rRNA from 1 species
ACAGGGAUUGCCUUAGUAACGGCGAGUGAAGCGGCAACAGCUCAAAUUUGAAAUCUGGCCCUCGGGUCCGAAUUGUAAUUUGUAGAGGAUGAUUUUGGUGCGGUAUCUUCCGAGUUCCUUGGAACAGGACGCCUUAGAGGGUGAGAGCCCCGUACGGUUGAAUGCCUAGCCUCUGUAAAUCUCCUUCGACGAGUCGAGUAGUUUGGGAAUGCUGCUCUAAAUGGGAGGUAAAUUUCUUCUAAAGCUAAAUAUUGGCCAGAGACCGAUAGCGCACAAGUAGAGUGAUCGAAAGAUGAAAAGCACUUUGAAAAGAGGGUUAAAUAGCACGUGAAAUUGUUGAAAGGGAAGGAUUUGUGACCAGACUUUUUCUGGGCGGAUCAUCCGGGGUUCUCUCCGGUGCACUUUGCCCAGUAAAGGCCAGCAUCGAUUUUCGGCGGCGGAUAAAAGCAGUGGGAAUGUGGCUCCCUACGGGGAGUGUUAUAGCCCAUUGUAUAAUACGCUGCUGGGGAUCGAGGUACGCGCUUCUGCAAGGAUGCUGGCGUAAUG